rfam:Brassica napus, WGS project CCCW01000000 data, contig: 8414
GGAAUAUAAGAUCUCGUCUCUUAACUUUUAACUAAAAAGACUAAGAACUAGUUCUUAAAUAAAAGUUUUAAAAACCGAUUUUUAAUUUUUUUAGUUAAAAGUUAAGAGACGGGUUCUUAUAUUCC